UCUGUGUAGGGGGCAGCAGCCUGGGUAUGAGGUAGGUGGCAAGCGUUGUCCGGAUGGAGUGGGCGUAAAGGGCUCGUAGGCGUCUCGGUGCGGCUGAUGUGAAAACUCGGGGCUUAACUCCGAGCCUGCAUUCGAUACGGGCGAGCUAGAAUUCGGUAGGGGAGACUGGAAUUCCUGGUGUAGCGGUGAAAUGCGCAGAUAUCAGGAGGAACACCGAUGGCGAAGGCAGGUCUCUGGGCCGAUAUUGACGCUGAUGAGCGAAAGCGUGGGGAGCGAACAGGAUUAGAUACCCCAGUAGUC
rnacentral:rRNA from 1 species